CCUGAGAAACCCAAAAGAUCGAAUGGGGAGAUUCAUCGUCAGCUCAUUUUAUAUAUGUAUGAAUUAUGAUAUGGGUUACUACUUGUAGUAUUGCCUGCACAUUUUUGUACAUUAUAAGAUUUUGUCGGCGUGCACUUCUCCCCUAGUAGGACGUCGCGACCCGUUGAGUGUCGGUCUACGGCUCAAGUGGUAGCCUUUAAUGUUUUUUUAAUAUUAAAGACCCUUGGUGUUUUCUGACCGGCUGCUCGGCGGUAUUCGUAUGGUAUUAAGCCGCAUUUAAUGCGUCCAUAUCCGUCACAAGCGAGGCUAAUAUCUUGUAGUACGGACUUAGUGCCGUCGCUUUUAUUGGCCAGCUGUUGGUUGUACGGUAUUCUAGGACUGGCUAAAUUACUGGUUAGCGAUGCUACUGCUUUGGGUACUUUCAGGACCCGUCUUGAAACACGGACCAAGGAGUCUAACAUGUGCGCAAGUCAUUGGGAUUUUAAACAAAAAUUAAACCUAAAGGCGUAAUGAAAGUAAAGAUCGUCCUUGCGUCGAUUGAGGGAGGAUGAGUUGUGUUAAGAUACAGCUCCGCACUCCCGGGGCGUCUCAUUCUUAUUACAAGAAGAGGCGCACCUAG
rnacentral:rRNA from 1 species